rnacentral:rRNA from 1 species
AUUGAACGCUGGCGGCAGGCCUAACACAUGCAAGUCGAACGAGUGGCGGACGGGUGAGUAAUGUCUGGGAACCUGCCUGAUGGAGGGGGCUAACUACUGGAAACGGUAGCUAAUACCGCAUACCAUCGGAUGUGCCCCUAUGGGAUUAGCUAGUAGGUGGGGUAAAGGCUCACCUAGGCGACGAUCCCUAGCUGGUCUGAGAGGAUGACCAGCCAAACUGGGACUGAGACACGGUCCAGACUCCUACGGGAGGCAGCAGUGGGGAAGAUUGCACAAUGGGCGCAAGCCUGAUGCAGCCAUGCCGCGUGUAUGAAGAAGGCCGUCGGGUUGUAAAGUACGUUCAGCGGGGAGGCGUUACCCGCAGAAGAAGCACCGGCUAACUCCGUGCCAGCCGCCGCGGUAAUUC